rnacentral:rRNA from 1 species
AGCCCAUCCCAAGAUGAGUUUUCCUUUCGGUAAGACCCCUUGUAGACCACGAGGUCGAUAGGCUGCAGAUGCAAGCGCCGCGAGGCGCUCAGUCGAGCAGUACUAAUAGGUCGAGCUCUUCCUUCCA